GGGCUUCAGGUUCCCCUGGACUCCGCCAAGGCUGUUCAGGUGUGACCAUGGUGCUCAUUAAACACAAAGGGAGGGAAGCCACAGUGAGGCCAGCUUGCUGGGGGUAGCGUAUGGGUCCCUCUCUCUUUGUGCUCAGUUCUCUUCUGUCUCCAGCAGCUGUAUUGGUAAGAUUUGAAUCUGCCAGGUAGAGGUGCCCCAGGUGAGGGGGUGCAGUGGUUCCUGGGGAAAGGAAGCCUACAGGGGGAAAGACAUCUGGAAAGUUUCAUGUGGCCCAACCAGGACAGGAAUGCUGCAGCCCUGCCAGCCAUGGCUCUCCUCAGGUAUCCUUUGGAAGUGGUGCUGAUUGCAUGGGGUGUUUGUCAGAGCUGUGCUGCCAUGUGCCUCCAGGCCACAGCCACAUGGUAGCACUGGCUCUCCUCCCUGUUCUUGCCCAGUCCUUGGCCAGGGGGUAUUGCCCGGUCUGAGCUGCUGCCCUGACUUGAACUGGGUAGUUUGGGUUUUGUCUCUUGGUGCUUAGGUUUGUGUGGGGACAAGUGCCAUUGAGCAUCUGUGACCUCUGUGAUAGCUCUCGCCAACUCGGAGACCUGGAGCAGAUGAGAGGGCAGGGGCAAGGCCAAGGGCUUGCCCUCCCCGGGUUAAAGGGGAAUCCCACUUUUGAGGGUGUUGAGGAGCCGUUGCUGCUCUAGUGGGAGACGGCUUAGUCCCCAGCUAGAUAGGGAGGCUUCAGCCCCACACUCCCUAAGGGAGGGAGUGACUGGGGGCCCAAUAUAAAGAAAAUCUGGGAAGAGGGGGGCUCUGUCCACACUGGGGGAGGUCUUGGUCUUCAGAGAACAUGUGUUGGCUUAUAAAGGGGCAGGCAGUGGGGUUGCACGGGAAGGACAGUUUUCUGUUUGCUACGGUGUUGGUGAUUCUCAGACUCUCACUGCUCCUGGGCCUGCAUGCCACCCCAUCUGGUAAGGCAGCUCCUCUGCAUACCAGGGCAUAGUGGAGAGGGAUUUAGUGCCUCCGGGCCUAGUGCCUCGUGUGACCUUUGGAUUAACUUCCUGUCUUAAAGCGUUCCAGUGGCCUCUAGGAAGCAGGAAGGCCCAUUUUGUUGGCCUAGUGAGUGGAGAAGUAAUGACAGCAGUGGGAAGGUUCCCCACAGGUGCAUGGGACGCCCUGACGCACACGCUCCUGUCCAGGUAGAAAGAGCCUCUGAUGGACAGGCAUCGCCCUGCCAUUCAGCCUGUAGGGGAGUGAAAGGCUGUGGCAACUUGGGGGGUCUGGAACUGGACGAGAGGACAUGGUGGUCACCUGCUGGGGGUGCUCUUGGCGGGCAGAGGGGAAGAGGGCCUGGCACCCAGGGCUGUAAGAUUUAGCCGCCUCUGCUACUGCUUGGGAAGCAUGGUUCAGGGACUUCCAGAGAAAGGCACAUGAGGGGGCUCCUGGGAGGGGAAGCCAACGGAGAGCAUCUCAGUGCAGGGAGAAGGUGGGGCAUAGAGUGUCCUGUGACCCACCAGGUACACGUGCAGCGGGAGUCUCUCAUGUCAUGUCUUGGGGACCUCACUGACUGGUGGCAGUUGGCACAACCUAGAGUGGGCGGAGGAAAUCGGAGGAAAGCCAGCCCCUCACUUGCACGUCACUAACACCUCUGUAAAGUGAGAAGCACACUAGGUCUUUGAUUAUCCACGUAAACCUACACGGUGUGGAAGUGUUGGAAAACUUGGUGUCUCUCCUUCCAGGUCUUUCCCCUUCCCAUAGUUUCUUUGCUUUUUGUCUUAACGUCAUUUUGAUCUUACCUGCUGUGAUCGUAAGGUCCCAUGUCGCUGUUUGCACUGCACAUCCCACCAGCCUUGCUCCUGUGUGGUCCGCAGCUUCAUCUGCAACGGCUGUGUGCUCUCCAUCGAGCAGGUGGACAGUGGGGCCAUGACUGGCCGCUACGGCAGCUACUAAUUCUUCAUCCGUGGAGAUCGGUGUGAGUCUGUGCAGGAGGCUUUUCCCCAUUGCCCAGUUACUUCCUUAGGAUAGAGUCCCAGAGGUGAGUUAUUGAAUUAAAGACUAUGAAACUGUGGAGGCUUUUAUACCUACAGCCAGUGGUUUCCAGAACCGCAUGCCGUCAGCGAGGAGCACCGCGGCGGCCUUACCUGGAUGGGCUGUUACCUGGCCGAGCACUUGCUGAGGUGAAGUGGAAGGCAGCGCUGUUUCAGUCUGCAUUUCUCAGAUAUCUCACCCAGUUUCACAAACAUCUUUUCAUGUUCAGCCCUUGUAUUUCUUUUGUCGAUUGCCACGGCCCUGCCCUCUAUCUACUGGAGUCUGAUAAGUUUGUGUCAGCUCGUUACAUAUUAAAGAUAUUAACCCAG